rnacentral:rRNA from 1 species
UACAGAGGUCUCAAGCGUUGUUCGGAUUCAUUGGGCGUAAAGGGUGUGUAGGUGGCGCGCUAAGUCGGGUGUGAAAUUUCGGAGCUUAACUCCGAAACUGCAUUCGAUACUGGCGUGCUUGAGGACUGGAGAGGAGACUGGAAUUCAUGGUGUAGCAGUGAAAUGCGUAGAGAUCAUGAGGAAGACCAGUGGCGAAGGCGGGUCUCUGGACAGUUCCUGACACUGAGACACGAAGGCCAGGGGAGAAAACGGG